CUGUAUGUUAAUAGCAAUACACAGUUGAAAAGAUGGAUUCAUAACUUCUAAGUGUCCUGGUUUAGUGAUUAAAUUGCCAAAACAAGGCUUGAAAGUCAGAAAUAAAUUCCCUCUUAAUUCUGUCACAGAUUUGGUUGUGACAUUGAAAGUAUUCCAGUUCUCUAAACAAAGAGAUCUAAAUAUCAAGCUAUUUAACACCCAGAUUCUGUUUCAUGUUACAGCAAAAGGGUGUUAUGUGUACCUGCAGAGAUUAAACCUUAGGUAUUCAGGAAUCAAGACAUUUCCAGUACAGAUCAUUUUUUAAAAGGUGGAUCAUAAUGUCAGUGUACCUGUCUUGCCUCAUUUUUUAGUUAUGGUUAGAAGGGUCAUUUGUAAUUUGUUUAAUAACUCUUAUAUUGCAUAUUUAGGAUUUAUCAAUUUAGACUUUCUGUCUUUGAUAGCACCCUCAUAUCCUUGAUAUUUACACUGAAGUGAACUUCUCUGUUUAGACUCUUUUUUUCCCUUCUCUAAAUCUUCUAUUUUCUCAGCAAUGUUGGCAUGUUGAUCUUUAUAUAUUUAUGUACCUCUAUUUAAGGAAAUGAAAGUUUUAUUUAUUAACAUGUAUAUGUUGAGAUCUUGUGCAAGAGAGGAAAAACACCUAGUAAUGUGCAUUAUACUUUUAUUCACAUAAACAGAACAUAAUCCACUUGAAGAAGAACAGACACCUAGCAUGCAACCUGAGCAAUCCACUACGUCUUUAGUAACUGAACCUGAACCAGAAAUUGUGCUACCUGCAUUUGAAGAGGAUGAUUUUCUAGAUAUACCAGAAAUGGAAAUAAUUAAAACGAAGAUUAACCUUUUCAUGAAUGACUGGCAAACAGUGGAGUCAGAAAUUAAGCAGUCAUCUCAAGUUCAGGUUGUUGUUUUAGAGAUUGCUGAGCAAACUCCAGAAAGUCUGCUUAAUCAAGUUGUUCUGGUUAUGGAGGGUAAGUAAUAUUGUUUAUGUGAUUUACAUUUAACUUACCAAGAUGGAUU
rnacentral:lncRNA from 1 species